UUUAUAAUGGCAGAAAAAUGCAUAGAUUUUAAGCGUCUAAGAUAGGAUUAUUUCCUUUAUUUUU
rnacentral:tRNA from 1 species